GACGAACGCUGGCGGCGUGCUUAACACAUGCAAGUCGAACGGUGAAGGGACCGGUUUUUGCUGGUUCUGGAUGAGUGGCGAACGGGUGAGUAACACGUGAGUAACCUGCCCCCUUCUUCUGGAUAACCGCAUGAAAGUGUGGCUAAUACGGGAUAUUCUGCGCCUGCUGCAUGGUGGGUGUGGGAAAGAUAUUGUUUCGGUGGGGGAUGGGCUCGCGGCCUAUCAGCUUGUUGGUGGGGUGAUGGCCUACCAAGGCGGUGACGGGUAGCCGACCUGAGAGGGUGGACGGUCACACUGGGACUGAGACACGGCCCAGACUCCUACGGGAGGCAGCAGUGGGGAAUAUUGCACAAUGGGCGCAAGCCUGAUGCAGCGACGCCGCGUGAGGGAUGGAGGCCUUCGGGUUGUAAACCUCUUUCGCCAGUGAAGCAGGCCUGUCCCUUUUGUGGGUGGGUUGACGGUAGCUGGAUAAGAAGCGCCGGCUAACUACGUG
rnacentral:rRNA from 1 species